rnacentral:lncRNA from 1 species
GGUAAUGUAUUUGUGAUCUUUAAAAGGUGUAGCGUUUUGGGAAUGUACAACAUACAAGGUAAAACCAAGAUUACAUUAAACAUUAUUUUAUCCUCUGCACUAAUUUUGCAGUGAGGCACAAAUGGCAAGUACACUAUUCAAUGACAUUCAUGCCUAGGCAUGCAUACACCAGGCACACAUGUGUGCAUGCCUACUGUGUCAUGUUGCACACAACACAUGCUCACAGAGUCGCGCACACACACACUCACCAAGGCACACUCGUGGCCUCCUUCCUGCUCACAUCUUUGUAAAUGAACGCAGGAUCUCCCCUGCUGAUGGGGCCCCUGAACAAGGGAAAUCCAAUCCCUACCAUCACCUAAAGGGCUGAGAAAGCCUUGGGUCGGGGAGGCCACUCCUCACCAGCAAAGGGUGAGUGAGGGAGCAGGCAGGGCCUGGGGUCAGGCCCAGGGUCUCGCUCCAUGUGAGGCAGGCUGUGAGCCAAGUGGGUGCCUUCAAA